rnacentral:rRNA from 1 species
GAUGAACGCUGGCGGCGUGCCUAAUACAUGCAAGUCGAGCGAACGGACGAGAAGCUUGCUUCUCUGAUGUUAGCGGCGGACGGGUGAGUAACACGUGGAUAACCUACCUAUAAGACUGGGAUAACUUCGGGAAACCGUAGCUAAUACCGGAUAAUAUUUUGAACCGCAUGGUUCAAAAGUGAAAGACGGUCUUGCUGUCACUUAUAGAUGGAUCCGCGCUGCAUUAGCUAGUUGGUAAGGUAACGGCUUACCAAGGCAACGACGCAUAGCCGACCUGAGAGGGUGAUCGGCCACACUGGAACUGAGACACGGUCCAGACUCCUACGGGAGGCAGCAGUAGGGAAUCUUCCGCAAUGGGCGAAAGCCUGACGGAGCAACGCCGCGUGAGUGAUGAAGGUCUUCGGAUCGUAAAACUCUGUUAUUAGGGAAGAACAUAUGCGUAAGUAACUGUGCACAUCUUGACGGUACCUAAUCAGAAAGCCACGGCUAACUACGU